AUGGCGCCGCCCCACACCUCCGCUGCAGGCCCGCAGCAGCGGCGCCUCCUCAAGGCGGCGGCCGACGGCGACCUCGGUCGCUUCAAGAGCAUCGCCAGCGCGCUGGAUGGCGGGAAGGGCCGCGUCAGGGAGGCGGUGGAGGCCGCCAGGGACGGGGGAUCCGGAGCGCUGCACGCCGCCGCCCGCCACGGGAGGAUGCCGGUGUACGUCUACCUCGUCGAGCAGCUUGGCGUGAACGUCGAUGCCGCAGACGACAAAGGUGAUACACCUCUGAUGUAUGCACUUGGUUGGGGGAAUUUGGAUAUUGUGAGGUAUCUCCUUGAUCAUGAUGCUGAUCCAGAAAAGCCUGGUGAACACGGAGCGACCGCUCUCCAUGUGGCAGCUGGAGAAGGAAUGUGUGAAAUGAUAGAAGUCUUGCUCUCAAAAGGAGCUAUGUUAAUUCCGUUUCUUUCUGUGGGACACCAUUGCAUGCUGCUAUUAUCGGGAAGCAUGAUGCUGCUGUGA
rnacentral:rRNA from 1 species